AUUGAACGCUGGCGGCAGGCCUAACACAUGCAAGUCGAGCGGAUGACGGGAGCUUGCUCCUUGAUUCAGCGGCGGACGGGUGAGUAAUGCCUAGGAAUCUGCCUGGUAGUGGGGGACAACGUUUCGAAAGGAACGCUAAUACCGCUUACGUCCUACGGGAGAAAGCAGGGGACCUUCGGGCCUUGCGCUAUCAGAUGAGCCUAGGUCGGAUUAGCUAGUUGGUGGGGUAAUGGCUCACCAAGGCCACGAUACGUAACUGGUCUGAGAGGAUGAUCAGUCACAAUGGGACUGGGAAACGGUCCAGACUCCUACGGGAGGCAGCAGUGGGGAAUAUUGGACAAUGGGCGAAAGCCUGAUCCAGCCAUGCCGCGUGUGUGAAGAAGGUCUUCGGAUUGUAAAGCACUUUAAGUUGGGAGGAAGGGCAGUAAGUUAAUACCUUGCUGUUUUGACGUUACCGACAGAAUAAGCACCGGCUAACUCUGUGCCAGCCGCCGCCGUAACAC
rnacentral:rRNA from 1 species